rnacentral:rRNA from 1 species
GAACGCUGGCGGCGUGCCUAACACAUGCAAGUCGAGCGAUUCUCUUCGGAGAAGAGCGGCGGACGGGUGAGUAACGCGUGGGUAACCUACCCUGUACACACGGAUAACAUACCGAAAGGUAUGCUAAUACGGGAUGAUAUAUAGAAAUCGCAUGAUUUUUAUAUCAAAGAUUUAUCGGUACAGGAUGGACCCGCGUCUGAUUAGCUUGUUGGCGGGGUAACGGCCCACCAAGGCGACGAUCAGUAGCCGACCUGAGAGGGUGAUCGGCCACAUUGGAACUGAGACACGGUCCAAACUCCCACGGGAGGCAGCAGUGGGGAAUAUUGCACAAUGGGCGCAAGCCUGAUGCAGCAACGCCGCGUGAGUGAUGAAGGCCUUCGGGUCGUAAAGCUCUGUCCUCAAGGAAGAUAAUGACGGUACUGAG